rnacentral:tRNA from 1 species
UCCUCAGUAGCUCAGUGGUAGAGCUGUCGGCUGUUAACUGACUAGUCGUAGGUUCGAUCACAUUUGUAGCA